UGUAGUGGAAAGUUACCUUCAUAUGGCCCUCUCUCUACAUCCAACAUCUAAUGGGAUAAAAGCCUGCUAACACAGCACGUAAAGACAGAUUUAGUUUUGGCCACUGCACUCCAGACUCCUAGAGGAGUGUGACCAAAUGCCCAUCAACCAGGUGGACGUGGCACAGAAUCUCUUCCAGGUACUUCUGGCCGUUCCCAGAAGUAAUCUACUGAAGACUUAUGAGCAAAAGUCAUCUUCAGCAAGAGCACCCACCGCUCGCCUCUUCCUGGGUGUCGGGUGUUUGUCAGGACAUCUUUCACCAGAAUCCUGACCCCAGCUCAUGAACUCCUUAACUUCAACUGAUGCUGUCAUGUACAGAAUUCUAAGACUAUAAAUUUCUCAGGUUUCUUUGCUACUACUACGUAUGGUUACAGGAUUCAGUUCUGGCCAAUAACAUCACUUCCAGCGCACCUACCAAAAAUGAGAAGUGGGCGGACAGUGUUAAAUGCAUUCAGAAAAGAAAAUCAGAAGAUGUGAAGGUAUUCUGAAAACCAGAAAAGCACUAUACAAGGUGGCCAUCAACAAGAAGUAAAAAAUAUAAA